UACAGAGGUCUCAAGCGUUGUUCGGAUUCAUUGGGCGUAAAGGGUGCGUAGGCGGUCCGGUAAGUCCGCUGUGAAAGUCGGGGGCUCAACCCUCGAAUGCCGGUGGAUACUGUCGGGCUAGAGUGCAGAAGAGGAAAGCGGAAUUCCACGUGUAGCGGUGAAAUGCGUAGAGAUGUGGAGGAACACCAGUGGCGAAGGCGGCUUUCUGGUCUGUAACUGACGCUGAGGCGCGAAAGCGUGGGGAGCAAACAGG
rnacentral:rRNA from 1 species